GGAAGACUCCAGAAUCCACUCUGGCUGGAAUCCGGUGGAUACAGCAGUGUUACAGAACAGUUCUCCACAGUCACUGUCCACAUGGGUCAGUGGGACCAAGAAGCACUCUGCUAAUGUGAGACUCUGACCAGCAACAUCCAGCAAGACCCAGGCAGCGUUUUCUAUCUCCCAGCUGGAGUUUUUUUGUUUGUCUGUGACUGGAGAGUCAGAUUUUUGUUGAGCCUCACACUUGCAGAGUCUUUUUGCAGGAUCAGAAAACAAAACCAGGAGACCUGUAAAUGUUUCUUCUCCAAUUGGAUGAUGAUAAGACUGUGACACGGGAUGCCACCUUUAGUCUUGUGAUGAGGCAAAGCUCAGGAAGCAGUGUGAUUAAAUGGUACCCACAUGUGUGCUGCUGAGAAGGAUGUACAGGGGCACCUGCAGCCAAAUCCAAGCCUCCUCAGCAACUUCAAGUCUGUCAGCGUGCUGAGGUCACAGAAACAAGAGAAGAAGCUUCAGACUUCAGAGUGUUGUUUACAGUUUUCUGUCAUCAUGAUCUCCCCUGAAGUUUAUCACUAUUAUACAAGCAAUGGUGACGGUGUGGAGAGACGGUGGUGUUUCCUCAGAAGAACCAGCAGAGUCACCAAGGACACGAGUCCAUCUCACCACCUUGACUUGCUGACUGAUGCUCGUCUGCACUGCACAGAGGAAAUCAACUGACCGAGAUGGGCAGGAUAUCAGUCUUGGACUGUCUGACCUGCAGCACUGAAUGACCACCACACAUGAGCAUGUUCCUGCAACAUUCAGCAGCUUUGCUUUUGUGUCAAAUGUCCAACAGCUGGAGAGGAAACUACACCAGUGUACUGGGAUGUUUCACCAACACGUGCCAGACGCUGUUCCUUCAUGGUUUCAUCACCAGAGACAGCCCCGCCCACCUCAGGACCUCGCCAUUGAUCAUGAUGGUUAUAAUAAUGACAGCGAGCGGAACUAAGACUGUAAAAAUCCACGACCAGAAUGUUUAGAUGCUUUCUAAUUAUUAAUGAAUACUGAGAGCCUCUUUCUGUGUUUUGUCUGUUUUGGUUUUUUUUACCUCAUUUGUUACUAACAAAGUUCACCAAACUCACACAGUUUACUUUCUGUAUGUUUCCAUCUUUACCAGCCACAGUCUACCCGCAAUUAAGCAAAUAAUCCUUAGAAAUCGUCGUUUUUGUCUUUUGUAUUUGAUGAUAAUUCAGUGAAUAUACUGCGCUGCUUCCUUUUAUUGCGUCUCACAUUGCUUUAAGUUUUUCAGUGUCCAGUUAUUUUUUACUGCUGUUUGAAUUCUCUGUAUCUUUGACCCUGUAGACUGUUUGAUGGACUGCUUGUCUUCCUAUUUGUAACCGCCGCCUGUUUUUGACUAAAGAUUUGGAUUUCUGACUGUAACACAGCCUCUGCGUGUCCUCCCUUUGUGUCCUCUUCCUCUGUGAAUGUGUUGCAUGUGUCACAGAUUCAUUUUAUUAACAGCUUUCCCACAGUCAGUUGCAUCAGCAUUCAUUCACAGCACAUUUCAGAAGGAUUCAGAUCAAUACAGUGAUCUUAUAGUCAGAAUUAUCCUGACA